rnacentral:tRNA from 1 species
GUAGCUGUGGUAAAGAAACAGUGGUUAAAUGUUUGGCUGCUAACCAAAAGAUCGGCAGUUCGAAUCCACCCAGCUGCU